rnacentral:rRNA from 1 species
GAACCGAGCGAACGUUGUUCGGAAUCACUGGGCUUAAAGGGCUCGUAGGUGGCCAACUAAGUCAGACGUGAAAUCCCUCGGCUUAACCGGGGAACUGCGUCUGAUACUGGAUGGCUUGAGUUUGGGAGAGGGACGCGGAAUUCCAGGUGUAGCGGUGAAAUGCGUAGAUAUCUGGAGGAACMCCGGUGGCGAAGGCGGCGUCCUGGACCAACACUGACACUGAGGAGCGAAAGCCAGGGGAGCAAACGGGAUUAGAUACCCCGGUAGUCCUGGCCCUAAACGAUGAAUGCUUGGUGUGGCGGGUAUCGAUCCCUGCCGUGCCGAAGCUAACGCGAUAAGCAUUCCGCCUGGGGAGUACGGUCGCAAGGCUG